GAUGAACGCUGGCGGCGUGCCUAAUACAUGCAAGUCGAGCGAACGGACGUGAAGCUUGCUUUUCUGAUGUUAGCGGCGGACGGGUGAGUAACACGUGGAUAACCUACCUAUAAGACUGGGAUAACUUCGGGAAACCGGAGCUAAUACCGGAUAAUAUUUUGAACCGCAUGGUUCAAAAGUGAAAGACGGUCUUGCUGUAACUUAUAGAUGGAUCCGCGCUGCAUUAGCUAGUUGGUAAGGUAACGCCUUACCAAGGCAACGAUGCAUAGCCGACCUGAGAGGGUGAUCGGCCACACUGGAACUGAGACACGGUCCAGACUCCUACGGGAGGCAGCAGUAGGGAAUCUUCCGCAAUGGGCGAAAGCCUGACGGAGCAACGCCGCGUGAGUGAUGAAGGUCUUCGGAUCUUAAAACUCUGUUAUUAGGGAAGAACAUAUGUGUAAGUAACUGUGCACAUCUUGACGGUACCUAAUCAGAAAGCCACGGCUAACUACGUG
rnacentral:rRNA from 1 species